UACAGGGGGUGCAAGCGUUAAUCGGAAUUACUGGGCGUAAAGCGUGCGCAGACGGUUGCGUAAGUCAGAUGUGAAAGCCCCGGGCUCAACCUGGGAAUUGCUUUUGAGACUGCGCAGCUAGGGUGCGGAAGAGGGAAGCGGAAUUUCCGGUGUAGCGGUGAAAUGCGUAGAUAUCGGAAGGAACACCAGUGGCGAAAGCGGCUUCCUGGUCCAGCACCGACGUUCAGGCACGAAAGCGUGGGGAGCAAACAGG
rnacentral:rRNA from 1 species